GGGAAAUCUACAAUGAUAAUAAAUAUCAUCAGGUUGACUCUGGUGGUUGUGAUGCUGAUUCCUCUGCUUCUGGUUUGUCUGUGGAUGAGAAAGAAGAAAACUCUGAGCUCCACCACUGAACCAAAUGAACCCAUAGAGACAUUAGAGUUGGAGUCUGAUCCUGAUUGUAGCAACGCCUCAGCCUUGAACCAAAACUGUAACCAGAGGGACUCACCUGGAUGGAAACAGAGAGAAGUACAGCAUUGAAGUAGUCAGUGGAGAACAGGGGGCUGUGGAGGAUGAGGAUACAUUUACCUUUAACUGCAAACAUUUUCAUUUUUAGUUUUCAUUAGCAGCAGCAGGUAGACGUCAGCAGCAGCAUGUAGCACAAGAUUAGAGUAGAAUGUAAGCGUCAUUGUUACCUGUGCAGGUACAUUACAUAAGUUCAGGAUUUUACUCAGUAUACAAAAUGUUAUUUCAAAAUGGAAUGUAAUAAAUUGCUUUUAAG